GUAGGGAAUAUUGGGCAAUGGUCGGAAGACUGACCCAGCCAUGCCGCGUGCAGGAAGACGGCCCUCUGGGUUGUAAACUGCUUUUAUCUGGGAAGAAAAAGGCCAUGCGUGGCAAAUUGCCGGUACCAGAUGAAUAAGCACGGGCUAACUCCGUGCCAGCAGCCGCGGUAAUACGGAGGGUGAAAGCGUUGUCCGGAUUUAUGGGGUUUAAAGGGUGCGUAGGCGGCUGAUUAAGUCAGCGGUGAAAGACUCCGGCUUAACCGGGGCAGUGCCGUUGAUACUGGUUAGCUUGAGUGUUGGAGGGGUACAUGGAAUUGAUGGUGUAGCGGUGAAAUGCAUAGAUACCAUCAGGAACACCGAUAGCGAAGGCAUUGUACUGGCCAACAACUGACGCUGAUGCACGAAAGUGUGGGGAUCGAACAGGAUUAGAUACCCGAGUAGUCC
rnacentral:rRNA from 1 species